rnacentral:rRNA from 1 species
UAGUGGCAAACGGGUGAGUAAUGGAUAGGUUAUCUACCGGGAAGAGGGGGAUACCCCUUCGAAAGAAGGAUCAAUACCCCGUACGCUCCUUACGGAGGAAAGGUGGUGCAAGCCACCGCUUCCUGAUGAGCCUAUCUCCUAUCAGCUAGUUGGUAAGGUAAUGGCUUACCAAGGCUAUGACGGGUAGCUGGUCUGAGAGGAUGAUCAGCCACACUGGAACUGAGACACGGUCCAGACUCCUACGGGAGGCAGCAGUGGGGAAUUUUGGGCAAUGAGCGAAAGCUUGACCCAGCGACACUGCGUGGGCGAAGAAGAUCUUUGGAUUGUAAAGCCCUUUUGUUGGGGAGUAAGCGAAUGCGCAGGAAAUGGCGUGUUCGUUGCAAGUACCCGACGAAUAAGCCCCAGCCAACUACGUGCCAGCAGCUGCGGUAAUACGUAGGGGGCAAGCGUUGUCCGGAAUUACUGGGUGUAAAGGGUGUGCAGGCGUCUUGCUAAGUUGGGUGUGAAAUCCCGGAGCUCAACUCCGGAGCGGCAUCCAAUACUGACAAGAUCGAGGUUAUGAGAGGGAAGCGGAACUCCCGGUGUAGCGGUGAAAUGCGUAGAGAUCUGGAAGAACACCAGAGGCGAAGGCGGCUUCCUAACAUAAUACUGACGCUCAGACACGAAAGCUAGGGGAGCAAACAGGAUUAGAUACCCUGGUAGUCCUAGCCCUAAACGAUGAAUACUAGGUGUUGGAGGAUUCACUCCUUCAGCGUCGUAGCUACGCGUU